GGCCUCGUAGCUCAGCUGGUAGAGCAUGCGCGUACAAAGCGUAGGCGGUGUCCAUGCAUGGGUUCGAAUCCCACCGAGGCUA
rnacentral:tRNA from 1 species